rnacentral:rRNA from 1 species
ACGGGUGAGUAACGCGUAGGGAUCUGUCCUGUAGAGGGGGAUAACCCGGGGAAACCCGGGCUAAUACCGCAUACGUUCUGAGGAAGAAAGGUCGGGACCGCAAGGCCGAUCGCUACAGGGUGAACCUGCGUCGGAUUAGCUAGUUGGCGGGGUAAGGGCCCACCAAGGCGAUGAUCCGUAGCUGGUCUGAGAGGACGGACAGCCACACUGGGACUGAGACACGGCCCAGACUCCUACGGGAGGCAGCAGUGGGGAAUAUUGGACAAUGGGCGCAAGCCUGAUCCAGCGAUGCCGCGUGUGUGAAGAAGGCCUGCGGGUUGUAAAGCACUUUUGGCGAAGACGAGGCUGACACGCCCGAAUAAGGUGUGUGAGUGACGGUAUUCGCAGAAAAAGCACCGGCUAACUCUGUGCCAGCAGCUGCGGUAAUACAGAGGGUGCAAGCGUUAAUCGGAAUGACUGGGCGUAAAGAGCGCGUAGGUGGUUAGAUAAGUCAGAUGUGAAAGACCUGGGCUUAACCUGGGGGUGUCAUUUGAUACUGUUUGACUAGAGUAC